GACAGAGGGUGCUAGCGUUGUUCGGAAUUACUGGGCGUAAAGGGCGCGUAGGCGGUCUGUUAAGUUCGGUGUGAAAUCCCCUGGCUCAACUGGGGAACUGCGUCUGAUACUGGAUGGCUUGAGUUUGGGAGAGGGACGCGGAAUUCCAGGUGUAGCGGUGAAAUGCGUAGAUAUCAGGAGGAACACCAGUGGCGAAGGCGGCUUCCUGGACACUAACUGACGCUGAGACGCGAAAGCGUGGGGAGCGAACAGG
rnacentral:rRNA from 1 species